rnacentral:rRNA from 1 species
GAUGAACGCUGGCGGCGUGCCUAAUACAUGCAAGUCGAGCGAACUGAUUAGAAGCUUGCUUCUAUGACGUUAGCGGCGGACGGGUGAGUAACACGUGGGCAACCUGCCUGUAAGACUGGGAUAACUUCGGGAAACCGAAGCUAAUACCGGAUAGGAUCUUCUCCUUCAUGGGAGAUGAUUGAAAGAUGGUUUCGGCUAUCAUUUACAGAUGGGCCAGCGGUGCAUUAGCUAGUUGGUGAGGUAACGGCUCACCAAGGCAACGAUGCAUAGCCGAACUGAGAGGGUGAUCGGCCACACUGGGACUGCGACACGGGCCAGACUCCUACGGGAGGCAGCAGUAGGGAAUCUUCCGCAAUGGACGAAAGUCUGACGGAGCAACGCCGCGUGAGUGAUGAAGGCUUUCGGGUCGUAAAACUCUGUUGUUAGGGAAGAACAAGUACAAGAGUAACUGCUUGUACCUUGACGGUACCUAACCAGAAAGCCACGGCUAACUACGUGCCAGCCGCCGCGGUAAGAC